ensembl:lncRNA
UGGAGAGCAGAAAUGAGGCACUCGGUGCUCUGGGAAAACUGGCAGAACAGGUUUUCAGAUAGUUAGACUUUCAGGAGCAACAUUAUGAACCCAAUUCUUGUAUAUGCUCAUAUCUAGAAAAGCGUUAAAAUCCUUCAUGGUGACACCUGCUCCUCGUGAAUAGUAGAAAUCUUCUGCGAAAAAAAUUUGUGCUUGAUUGCAUGUGCUCCCCCUUCACCAAAACUAUCUCCCUGCCCCCUGCCCUGACUCUUUGAAGCAGUUUCUCAGAGCUAUCUGAGGUUGAAAGUUUUACAGUGACCACGAAGAGACCCACAGUGGACUUCUCCUUCACCUGAACUCUGUGAAGAACUGGAGACUUUGUAGCAGCAGAGGCCCUUGUGCCCAUCUGCCUCCUCAGAAAGUCCAGAGAAACUUGGAGGAUAAGUUUUACUAAGAUGUGACACGGCUGAGCGACUUCACUUUCACUCAUUGGAGAAGGAAAUGGCAACCCACUCCAGUGUUCUUGCCUGGAGAAUCCCAGGGACCGGGGAGCCUGGUGGGCUGCCAUCUAUGGGAUCACACAGAGUCGGACACGACCGAAGCGACUUAGCAGCAGCAGCAGCAGCAGCAGCAGCAGCAGCAGCAGCAGCAAACUGCCUUUGAUAACUGAUUUUAAGCUGUUUACCCUUUAAGUGAUCUAGUCUGUACUUGCUUUGAAAUCUUUGUUACUUUGGCUAAGUGAACAACUAUUUUUCACAGUGACAUAUAAUCCUAUCUGACUGAGUAUUCUAAACCUUUUUGAUAUUUAUUGACAAAACUUCCUAAACCAAAAUUUAAUGAAGUCCUUUGCCCUCUUGCUAACUCUAGGAUACUUCAAAGGGCCCCUGAAACAUCCCAAAGAGAGAUAUUAAUUAGUUGUAUUUGAUAUGUUAAAUUACCUGGGAAGUAUUGUUAAAUGAGUAAUGAAUCUUCUCAGGUUAUAUUGAGGAUAAAUGCUUACUAAUAUAGACAUUCUAGAAAUUAUAUGGAAUUUCUAAAGAUAUGACAUAUCCUUGUAAAUGCUAUGUCAUAAUCCUAGUUAUUAAAGUGCUAUAUGUCACAGCAGUAAUCAAGUCUCUUUGUCAAUUGCAUUGCGAUCUGAUUUUAAAUAUGUCUUAAGUCUUUUUGUCAUUAUAGGCAGUUGUGGUUUGAUUAUAAUGCCUUUGGGGAAAUGUUUCCCCUCCAAGAUUAACAGAAAGAACUUUUGGAUAAAUAGAAGUUUCUGACUUUUAGACCAUAAUGCUGAACUAGUUAAGAGAAUUAAAAAUCCUAAUGAGAAAACUGAUGGCUUCAUAAACUGUUAGCAAAAAGAGUUAGUUACAUAAGACUGAGUGAACUGGUGAAUAUGGUCAUAAUUUUUACGGUUUCGAUUUGGUU